rnacentral:rRNA from 1 species
GAUGAACGCUGGCGGCGUGCCUAAUACAUGCAAGUCGAGCGAACAGACGAGGAGCUUGCUCCUCUGACGUUAGCGGCGGACGGGUGAGUAACACGUGGAUAACCUACCUAUAAGACUGGGAUAACUUCGGGAAACCGGAGCUAAUACCGGAUAAUAUAUUGAACCGCAUGGUUCAAUAGUGAAAGACGGUUUUGCUGUCACUUAUAGAUGGAUCCGCGCCGCAUUAGCUAGUUGGUAGGGUAACGGCUUACCAAGGCGACGAUGCGUAGCCGACCUGAGAGGGUGAUCGGCCACACUGGAACUGAGACACGGUCCAGACUCCUACGGGAGGCAGCAGUAGGGAAUCGUCCGCAAUGGGCGAAAGCCUGACGGAGCAACGCCGCGUGAGUGAUGAAGGUCUUCGGAUCGUAAAACUCUGUUAUUAGGGAAGAACAAAUGUGUAAGUAACUAUGCACGUCUUGACGGUACCUAAUCAGAAAGCCACGGCUAACUACGUG